GCUGCACCCAACGGCCGCGUGGUGGGGAAGAUGGGAGGGGAUGGGGGUAGGCCGCCGAGCAUCUCCUGCCCCAGAAUCUGGCACGCUGACGGGGACCUAGGGACAGACGACCGCACAACACGCCACGUUGCAGGCGCUGCCAGGCCGGGUGCCUCACCUAGCUCCUUCAUGUAUUCAUCAAAGCCUUUGCUGUCCACCAGGCGCCAUCUUCCUUCCAGCUGCUGAACUGUGGCCAUGGGUACGCGACGGCCUCUCGGGCGCCUCCUGCAAGCAGGGACUCGCCCGGCGCGCCCCACGCCUCAUGGACGCCGGCGCCUGCACGUUUCGGCGCCUCUGCAGGCCCAGGAAGCCAGAGGGGUCACCUGGAGGCCUGGCCCCGCCUCUCCUGCACCCCUCCGUUUGACAACAUAUCCACCGCCGUUUUUCCUUUCAAAAUACCCGGACCAAUCGAUUAGCCCUCGCCGGACUCGGACUGCAGGAAGUGAUUGAUCGGCUGUUUGGUUUAUUGAUUCAUUAACUACGGUGCCUCCCUGACCUUCUGCUCCUCGCCAGCGCACAAGCUCACAAUCCACACCCUCCUAAGAGAACCUGCUCUCGCCAUCCGCAGGUCUCCCUGGCCCAAUAGUGGGGAUAUACCUGAGUUGAGCUAGAGGAUUUUAUCCCUGUUGGGAUGGGGGACGUCUCGGGAAGUGUGGUUUCUAAACUAAAAGACUGCAGGAAGUGUCAACUUUAGUGACUGUCAUUGCCAUUCAAGAAUGUUUGAUUAGUUUAUAUUCCCUUCGUAGUGCACCCUUCACCGUUUCUUCUCAGACACCAGCGGGUUUCUUCUCAGACACCAGCGGGUUCCCUCUUUCUCUUGAACUAUAAUAAUACCCUACACAUGUGCGUAGAACAUGAUACGUUUCAAAGUGUA
rnacentral:lncRNA from 1 species